GUCUACAGCCAUACCACCCUGAACACGCCUGAUCUUGUCUGAUCUCAGAAGCUAAGCAGGGUUGAAACUGAUUAGUACUUGGAUGGGAGAAUUGUGUAUUAGCCAAGAUGUGGAAU
ensembl:rRNA 5S_rRNA 5S ribosomal RNA